CUACGGGGUGCUCCAGUGGGGAAUAUUGGGCAAUGGGCGCAAGCCUGACCCAGCAACGCCGCGUGAGGGAAGAAGGUUUUCGGAUUGUAAACCUCUGUCCUUGGGGACGAAGAAGUGACGGUACCCAAGGAGGAAGCUCCGGCUAACUACGUGCCAGCAGCCGCGGUAAUACGUAGGGAGCAAGCGUUGUCCGGAAUUACUGGGCGUAAAGGGUGCGUAGGCGGCAUAUUAAGUCAGGUGUGAAAUACUCGGGCUCAACCCGGGGGCUGCAUUUGAAACUGAUAUGCUUGAGUGUGAGAGAGGAAAGUGGAAUUCCUAGUGUAGCGGUGGAAUGCGUAGAUACUAGGAGGAACACCAGUGGCGAAGGCGACUUUCUGGCUCAUAACUGACGCUGAGGCACGAAAGCGUGGGGAGCAAACAGGAUUAGAUACCCGCGUAGUC
rnacentral:rRNA from 1 species